GGGAAGGGAUAAAAGAAGGUUACUUCUAAUGUUGUUGAAAUCAGUGUUUCCCGAGACUUAAUUGAGCCACGGCACAUAUUUUAAGUCAGAAAUAUCGAAUAGCUUAAUCUCUCUCUUCUUCGCAUUUCACCUAUUGCCGCUUCAGUGCAUCCCCCUACUCCCCCAAAAAAGCCAGAUUGGCUUAAAGUACAUACUAUAUCACUUUAAGAAGCCAAAAGAAAUAAAAAGCCAGAUCGGCUCUUUGGAGCCAAUUGGCUGGCAUCAUCAAGGCUUCACCCAGAAACUCUCUCUCUCCACCCCUCCUCCUUCCUCUCCGCCAUUUUGUACACUGUUGGAGUGUGUGUGACAACCUCUCAAGUUCAAAAUGCCUUGAAAGUUGAUCUUAAAGCUGCCGCAGAAGCACCCAAGUGUGAGAGGAUGAUGCGAAAUGAGAGGAUUGUUCAAAAUGGGAGCUGCGUUCACUUUGUGGAAGGCGGAUUGCAGAAAAACGGCCUGGUGACUGAGGAAAAGGAAGCUGAUCGAUUGGCGAAAAAGUAAAACUAUUGGAUAUCAUCAAAGAGGCCUUUGUAGCGCAUUAUGGCAUGAAUUAAUCAGUGUCGCGCUACAUAAAGAAUGAUGUGGGAAACAUCCGUGAAAAACGCUUCAGUAACUUAAUUAAGAAGCGAAAUGUGUGAUGAUGAACCUCAAGCUGCAAUUAGGGAUUCACCUCCUCGAAGACCAUGGUUUUCGGCAAGCAAAGGGUGUUGGAUUAAAUGGAUUAAUUGUACAAAAAGUUCUAUUUGCGCUCUUGUUUUGCUUUUAAUACUCUUUUGCUAUGCUUAUAAUGUGUUUGGUUACGGUUGUUUAUUUAUCGACUCCCAGUUUCUUUUUUUAAUCACGUUUGCAGUGUUUGUUACAGUUUCAGCUGCCCUAAGGAAAUUUAAAAAAAAAAAAAAAGGAUUUGUGGACAUGUGGCCAGAACAGGCUGGAGAUGGUGAGAGAGAGACAGUCCGUGUUCUCCUCGCGAGCAAAAGUUUCUGUGGUCGAGGAAGGAGUGCCCCACUAGCGAACCGGAAGUGAUGUCACAACGAUGAGUCGCGGACAUUGAAUGCUACACGAGAAGCCAUCACGCGUUUGCUUUGUUUGUGACUUUUUGUACUGCAAUAAAAAUGUUAUUUUAUUGAUAUUG